rnacentral:rRNA from 1 species
AUGUCGAGGUAGCCGAUCAUGAUGAUGUAGCCGUGGUCGAGGUAGUCAUGGUCGAUGGUGUGGUCGUCGUGGAUGAUGAAGCCGCACAAAGCCGGAAGCGCAAAAAAAUGCGCUAUGACGGAGCUGCAGACGUGGACGAUGCACCUUGCGGAUGUCAGAGGGUGCCGUCGGCGAUGAGUCCACCGAUUUUGCCAAGACCGGAGGAAGCCCAUCGAGCACACAUCGGUUUUGCCAGAACCGUGUGGCCGUGUAGGGUCGUCACUGUAGUGACGCCGUGUCGAUGCAGUCGUGCCGUCGUGGAUGACGCGGAAGAUGCCGUCGUCGUGACGCGGCCAUUGCCGUCGUCGAG